rnacentral:rRNA from 1 species
CACCAGACUCCUACGGGAGGCAGCAGUGGGGGAUAUUGCACAAUGGGGGAAACCCUGAUGCAGCGACGCCGCGUGUGGGAAGACGGUCCUCUGGAUUGUAAACCACUGUCCCCAGGGACGAAGAUGACGGUACCUGGGGAGGAAGCUCCGGCUAACUACGUGCCAGCAGCCGCGGUAAUACGUAGGGAGCGAGCGUUGUCCGGAAUUACUGGGUGUAAAGGGAGCGCAGGCGGCGCGUUAAGCCUGGUGUGAAAGCCCGCGGCCCAACCGCGGGACUGCAUUGGGAACUGGCGCGCUGGAGUGCCGGAGGGGUAGGCGGAAUUCCUAGUGUAGCGGUGAAAUGCGUAGAUAUCAGGAGGAACACCGGCGGCGAAGGCGGCUUGCUGGACUGUAAAUGACGCUGAGGCUCGAAAGCGUGGGGAGCAAACAGGAUUAGAUACCCCUGUAA